GUGGCCUACAACUCUAUCAUGCAGAUCAAAUAGUGGAUAGCAAGAAGAAACUCAUUUCAAUAUCAAUGUUUGGCCAUUUGUUAAUUUGGUUUUAUUAUUGUAGUCAUUUAUAGGCAUGAAAUAUAGUGUGUUAUGCCUGUGUUUUCUGAAACCUUCAGUUGUAUGAUGUUUAGUUAUUUUUUUCGUCUCAUGAUAUUAAUAUGUUCCGAC
rnacentral:misc_RNA from 1 species